rnacentral:rRNA from 1 species
GGCUCAGAACGAACGCUGGCGGCAUGCCUAACACAUGCAAGUCGAACGGCUCUUCGGAGCAGUGGCGCACGGGUGAGUAACGCGUGGGAACCUACCUCGAGGUACGGAAUAACGGCUGGAAACGGCCGCUAAUACCGUAUGUGACCCAAGGGUGAAAGAUUUAUCGCCUUGAGAGGGGCCCGCGUCCGAUUAGCUUGUUGGUGAGGUAAU